rnacentral:rRNA from 1 species
UUAAGCGACUAAGCGUACACGGUGGAUGCCCUGGCAGUCAGAGGCGAUGAAGGGCGUGCUAAUCUGCGAUAAGCGCCGGUAAGGUGAUAUGAACCGUUAUAACCGGCGAUACCCGAAUGGGGAAACCCAGUGUGACUCGUCACACUAUCAUUAACUGAAUCCAUAGGUUAAUGAGGCGAACCGGGGGAACUGAAACAUCUAAGUACCCCGAGGAAAAGAAAUCAACCGAGAUUCCCCCAGUAGCGGCGAGCGAACGGGGAGGAGCCCAGAGCCUGAAUCAGCAUGUGUGUUAGUGGAAGCGUCUGGAAAGGCGCGCGAUACAGGGUGACAGCCCCGUACACAAAAGCGCAUGUGUUGUGAGCUCGAUGAGUAGGGCGGGACACGUGGUAUCCUGUCUGAAUAUGGGGGGACCAUCCUCCAAGGCUAAAUACUCCUGACUGACCGAUAGUGAACCAGUACCGUGAGGGAAAGGCGAAAAGAACCCCGGCGAGGGGAGUGAAAAAGAACCUGAAACCGUGUACGUACAAGCAGUGGGAGCCCCACCACUAAGCCAGUGGUGAACUCCACAUACGCAUCCUUUGCUGAAGGCAAUGGUUAACGGAGCGAAAGCGACGUUCAACCGCAAAAGAAGCAGAGGGGGCUUAGUGGUGGGGUGACUGCGUACCUUUUGUAUAAUGGGUCAGCGACUUAUAUUCUGUAGCAAGGUUAACCGUAUAGGGGAGCCGUAGGGAAACCGAGUCUUAACCGGGCGUUAAGUUGCAGGGUAUAGACCCGAAACCCGGUGAUCUAGCCAUGGGCAGGUUGAAGGUUGGGUAACACUAACUGGAGGACCGAACCGACUAAUGUUGAAAAAUUAGCGGAUGACCUGUGGCUGGGGGUGAAAGGCCAAUCAAACCGGGAGAUAGCUGGUUCUCCCCGAAAGCUAUUUAGGUAGCGCCUCGUGAAUUCAUCUCCGGGGGUAGAGCACUGUUUCGGCUAGGGGGCCAUCCCGGCUUACCAACCCGAUGCAAACUGCGAAUACCGGAGAAUGUUAUCACGGGAGACACACGGCGGGUGCUAACGUCCGUCGUGAAGAGGGAAACAACCCAGACCGCCAGCUAAGGUCCCAAAGUCAUGGUUAAGUGGGAAACGAUGUGGGAAGGCCCAGACAGCCAGGAUGUUGGCUUAGAAGCAGCCAUCAUUUAAAGAAAGCGUAAUAGCUCACUGGUCGAGUCGGCCUGCGCGGAAGAUGUAACGGGGCUAAACCAUGCACCGAAGCUGCGGCAGCGACACUCAGGUGUUGUUGGGUAGGGGAGCGUUCUGUAAGCCUGUGAAGGUGUGUCGUGAGGCAUGCUGGAGGUAUCAGAAGUGCGAAUGCUGACAUAAGUAACGAUAAAGCGGGUGAAAAGCCCGCUCGCCGGAAGACCAAGGGUUCCUGUCCAACGUUAAUCGGGGCAGGGUGAGUCGACCCCUAAGGCGAGGCCGAAAGGCGUAGUCGAUGGGAAACGGGUUAAUAUUCCCGUACUUGGUGUUACUGCGAAGGGGGGACGGAGAAGGCUAUGUUGGCCGGGCGACGGUUGUCCCGGUUUAAGCGUGUAGGUGUGUGUUCCAGGUAAAUCCGGUUCACUUUAACACUGAGGCGUGAUGACGAGGCACUACGGUGCUGAAGCAACAAAUGCCCUGCUUCCAGGAAAAGCCUCUAAGCAUCAGGUAACAUCAAAUCGUACCCCAAACCGACACAGGUGGUCAGGUAGAGAAUACCAAGGCGCUUGAGAGAACUCGGGUGAAGGAACUAGGCAAAAUGGUGCCGUAACUUCGGGAGAAGGCACGCUGACACGUAGGUGAAGUGAUUUACUCAUGGAGCUGAAGUCAGUCGAAGAUACCAGCUGGCUGCAACUGUUUAUUAAAAACACAGCACUGUGCAAACACGAAAGUGGACGUAUACGGUGUGACGCCUGCCCGGUGCCGGAAGGUUAAUUGAUGGGGUCAGCGCAAGCGAAGCUCCUGAUCGAAGCCCCGGUAAACGGCGGCCGUAACUAUAACGGUCCUAAGGUAGCGAAAUUCCUUGUCGGGUAAGUUCCGACCUGCACGAAUGGCGUAAUGAUGGCCAGGCUGUCUCCACCCGAGACUCAGUGAAAUUGAACUCGCUGUGAAGAUGCAGUGUACCCGCGGCAAGACGGAAAGACCCCGUGAACCUUUACUAUAGCUUGACACUGAACAUUGAGCCUUGAUGUGUAGGAUAGGUGGGAGGCUUUGAAGCGUGGACGCCAGUCUGCGUGGAGCCGACCUUGAAAUACCACCCUUUAAUGUUUGAUGUUCUAACGUGGACCCGUUACCCGGGUUGCGGACAGUGUCUGGUGGGUAGUUUGACUGGGGCGGUCUCCUCCUAAAGAGUAACGGAGGAGCACGAAGGUUGGCUAAUCCUGGUCGGACAUCAGGAGGUUAGUGCAAUGGCAUAAGCCAGCUUGACUGCGAGCGUGACGGCGCGAGCAGGUGCGAAAGCAGGUCAUAGUGAUCCGGUGGUUCUGAAUGGAAGGGCCAUCGCUCAACGGAUAAAAGGUACUCCGGGGAUAACAGGCUGAUACCGCCCAAGAGUUCAUAUCGACGGCGGUGUUUGGCACCUCGAUGUCGGCUCAUCACAUCCUGGGGCUGAAGUAGGUCCCAAGGGUAUGGCUGUUCGCCAUUUAAAGUGGUACGCGAGCUGGGUUUAGAACGUCGUGAGACAGUUCGGUCCCUAUCUGCCGUGGGCGCUGGAGAACUGAGGGGGGCUGCUCCUAGUACGAGAGGACCGGAGUGGACGCAUCACUGGUGUUCGGGUUGUCAUGCCAAUGGCACUGCCCGGUAGCUAAAUGCGGAAGAGAUAAGUGCUGAAAGCAUCUAAGCACGAAACUUGCCCCGAGAUGAGUUCUCCCUGAGACUUAGAGUCUCCUGAAGGAACGUUGAAGACGACGACGUUGAUAGGCCGGGUGUGUAAGCGCAGCGAUGCGUUGAGCUAACCGGUACUAAUGAACCGUGAGGCUUAACCUU